rnacentral:lncRNA from 1 species
CGCGGCUAACGGUGCGGGGCCCCUGCGAGAGCAUCAGAGACACCCAGUGACUCACGGGCCGGGGGUGCACGCAUUCCAGGAUUGAGAAGU